UUGCUGUCGUCAGCUCGUGUCUUGAGAUGUUGGGUUGAGUCCGCACGAGCGCACCCUUGUCCUCAGUUACCAGCACUUUAUGGUGGGCACUCUGGGAAGACUGCCGGUGACAAACCGGAGGAAGGUGGGGACGACGUCAAGUCAUCAUGGCCCUUACGGCCAGGGCUACACACGUGCUACAAUGGUGCAUACCGACGGUUGCCAAGCUGUGAAGGGGAGGCAAUUCGAGAAAGUGCAUCGUAGUCCGGAUUGGAGUCUGCAACUCGACUCCAGAAGUCGGAAUCGCUGUAUGUGAAUCAAAAUGUCGCGGUGAAU
rnacentral:rRNA from 1 species